rnacentral:rRNA from 1 species
GAUCUCAAAUCAGGUAGGACUACCCGCUGAACUUAAGCAUAUCAAUAAGCGGAGGAAAAGAAACUAACAAGGAUUCCCCUAGUAACUGCGAGUGAAGCGGGAAGAGCUCAAAUUUAAAAUCUGGCGUGCCUCUGGUCGUCCGAGUUGUAGUCUGGAGAAGCGUUUUCCGUG